UGGUAUUUUCGUUCCAGUUAUGUUACUCUUCGAGUUCUGCAUACAAUAUAUACGAAAUCAUGUGUAAUGUGUCUAUAAUUUUUACGAGGAGGGGAAACGAGGCUAGGGCAGGAUUGGGGUUGCUGCAGCUACCAUGUUAGCACACAGCCUGCAGGCAGUCACUCACAGUGAGGAUUUAUCCCGAGUAAAGGGGCUUUUUAGCUGGGCGUUAUGGAGCUAGAAAUACCAAGAAUACCACGAACUUUAGACUGAGCAGCGAGCCUCGUAGCAUGGAGCUCAUUCAUAUUUCCGAAUAGCGGCAGCCUUUUGUGGCAGAUCAGCUCCUCCUGACUAGUCAGAAUAAAUGAGCGACACCACCUUGUCGUGUACCGUCGCGAAAAUGCAGCAGUAGGCAAGUUCCGCUGUUAUUUACCUCAGUAUGGAGGCUGGCUCUACAUUCUGCAUUUAUGCGAUCUUUGUCGCCCCCCACUCCAUUGUGUAGCUAAUGGUCAUCUGCUGCCUGUGUGCUGUGGCCUCUGCCUGCACUCUGCAUCCUAGCUGUAUUGUGAAACCCCCCUUCCUCAUCUUUCCUCUUUCCAUCAGAAGACGACAUUGGUAUUAAAAACAAAACAAGCCAAAAAAAAAAAAAAA